rnacentral:pre_miRNA from 1 species
UUUAGGGGUGGAUCUGACGUCCCUGAGUGUAUGUGGUGAACCUGAAUUUGCCUUGGGUUUCCUCAUAUUCAUUCAGGAGUGUCAGUUGCCCCUUCA